UUAUUUUUUUCUUACCAACAUACAUGCUUUUUGCUAUUGUUUAAGACCAUUUCAUGUUUAUGUUUAUGUUUAAGGCAAUGACGAGCAGUCAACAUGUGAGAAAGAAUUGACUAAUGCAACAGAGAUGCAACUUACUUUCAUCUGUGAAACUUCUGGUGUUAUUAGAAAGAGUAUAUCCAUGAACAUUAUUAAAGAAUGUUAUUUUACGUGAAGUAUUCAGAAAUAUUCCCUACACUUUGAAUGUUUAAGAAAUAAUACUUACAUUGCCAUUUUCAAAUUAAACUUGUCACAAAAUCUCAAAGCAUAACAGUGAAACAAAGGGAUUGUUUUUCAGAAACAAAGAAGUGUCUUAAAACUACUCAACACAAUUUGAAUCUUUCCUGAAACUUGAUCUACAUAUUUCCCGGCAAUGUAUUUUUACCAACCUUCAAACUAAACUUCUUUGUUAAAUGUAUGACUUGAUGGCGAUGUCGGAUAUGAAACUACUGAGAAACUCUGAAACAAGGUGUCCUACUCUCAGCCCAAGAUCUAUCUGUAGGAUGGCAAUAGCUGGUAGCCUGCAUACAGAUUUUACAUACUUUGGCACGAUAAAUAAAAAUCUGUCACAAGCUUAGUGGUCUACAUAGGGUGGUGGCAAUCCUGAGAAGACAAGAGGACAGAGCAAAACCCAAGUUCGAAUUGAGGGAGACAUGGAAUACAGCAACUUUUCUCAGUAAAUAAAGGCAAGAUUCAAGAUCA
rnacentral:lncRNA from 1 species